UGGGGGAUCGUCUAGUGGUAGGACAACAGGUUCUGGCCCUGUCGGCGAGGGUUCGAGUCCUUCUCCCCCAG
rnacentral:tRNA from 1 species